AACAGGAUUAGAUACCCUGGUAGUCCACGCCGUAAACGAUGUCGACUUGGAGGUUGUGCCCUUGAGGCGUGGCUUCCGGAGCUAACGCGUUAAGUCGACCGCCUGGGGAGUACAGCCGCAAGGUUAAAACUCAAAUGAAUUGACGGGGGCCCGCACAAGCGGUGGAGCAUGUGGUUUAAUUCGAUGCAACGCGAAGAACCUUACCUGGUCUUGACAUCCACGGAAGUUUUCAGAGAUGAGAAUGUGCCUUCGGGAACCGUGAGACAGGUGCUGCAUGGCUGUCGUCAGCUCGUGUUGUGAAAUGUUGGGUUAAGUCCCGCAACGAGCGCAACCCUUAUCCUUUGUUGCCAGCGGUCCGGCCGGGAACUCAAGGGAGACUGCCAGUGAUAAACUGGAGGAAGGUGGGGAUGACGUCAAGUCAUCAUGGCCCUUACGACCAGGGCUACACACGUGCUACAAUGGCGCAUACAAAGAGAAGCGACCUCGCGAGAGCAAGCGGACCUCAUAAAGUGCGUCGUAGUCCGGAUUGGAGUCUGCAACUCGACUCCAUGAAGUCGGAAUCGCUAGUAAUCGUGGAUCAGAAUGCCACGGUGAAUACGUUCCCGGGCCUUGUACACACCGCCCGUCACACCAUGGGAGUGGGUUGCAAAAGAAGUAGGUAGCUUAACCUUCGGGAGGGCGCUUACCACUUUGUGAUUCAUGACUGGGGUGAAGUCGUAACAAGGUAACC
rnacentral:rRNA from 1 species